rnacentral:lncRNA from 1 species
UUGCAUCUGCAGCUGUUGGUUGUGAUUUUGAUUGGGGUGUUGGUAUUUCAUCUUCCAUCUUCUUUAGGUUUUGUUGAUAAUAUAUUUGCCGCAACGUUUCUAUUUCUCGCUCAACGCUUCUUGAUGACCUAUAACAAUAAAACUAACUACGUCUCAUUCCAAAUCAAGCUUUCUAUUUCUCGCUUCAACGCUUCUUGAUGAGCUAUAACAAUAAAACUAAUUACGUCUCAGUUCCAGAUCAAGUUAACGUUCAUUUACUUCCUCAUAGAAUAUAAGCUACAUUAAGACAUUGUUCUACUAAUUAAUUGACUUUAAGAGGAAUUAAAUUAAUGAAUAAUUUAAUAGAAGAGUAAAAAAG